rnacentral:rRNA from 1 species
AUUCGGACGUCCUNCAGUCGAGCGNACAGAAGGGAGCUUGCUCCCGNAUGUUAGCGGCGGACGGGUGAGNAACACGUGGGUAACCUGCCUGUAAGACUGGGAUAACUCCGGGAAACCGGAGCUAAUACCGGAUAGUUCCUUGAACCGCAUGGUUCAAGGAUGAAAGACGGUUUCGGCUGUCACUUACAGAUGGACCCGCGGCGCAUUAGCUAGUUGGUGAGGUAACGGCUCACCAAGGCGACGAUGCGUAGCCGACCUGAGAGGGUGAUCGGCCACACUGGGACUGAGACACGGCCCAGACUCCUACGGGAGGCAGCAGUAGGGAAUCUUCCGCAAUGGACGAAAGUCUGACGGAGCAACGCCGCGUGAGUGAUGAAGGUUUUCGGAUCGUAAAGCUCUGUUGUUAGGGAAGAACAAGUGCAAGAGUAACUGCUUGCACCUUGACGGUACCUAACCAGAAAGCCACGGCUAACUACGUGCCAGCAGCCGCGGUAAUACGUAGGUGGCAAGCGUUGUCCGGAAUUAUUGGGCGUAAAGGGCUCGCAGGCGGUUUCUUAAGUCUGAUGUGAAAGCCCCCGGCUCAACCGGGGAGGGUCAUUGGAAACUGGGAAACUUGAGUGCAGAAGAGGAGAGUGGAAUUCCACGUGUAGCGGUGAAAUGCGUAGAGAUGUGGAGGAACACCAGUGGCGAAGGCGACUCUCUGGUCUGUAACUGACGCUGAGGAGCGAAAGCGUGGGGAGCGAACAGGAUUAGAUACCCUGGUAGUCCACGCCGUAAACGAUG